rnacentral:rRNA from 1 species
AGUGAACGCUGGCGGUAGGCCUAACACAUGCAAGUCGAACGGCAGCACAGUAAGAGCUUGCUCUUACGGGUGGCGAGUGGCGGACGGGUGGGGAAUACAUCGGAAUCUACUUUUUCGUGGGGGAUAACGUAGGGAAACUUACACUAAUACCGCAUACGACCUACGGGUGAAAGCAGGGGAUCUUCGGACCUUGCGCGAUUGAAUGAGCCGAUGUCGGAUUAGCUAGUUGGCGGGGUAAAGGCCCACCAAGGCGACGAUCCGUAGCUGGUCUGAGAGGAUGAUCAGCCACACUGGAACUGAGACACGGUCCAGACUCCUACGGGAGGCAGCAGUGGGGAAUAUUGGACAAUGGGCGCAAGCCUGAUCCAGCCAUACCGCGUGGGUGAAGAAGGCCUUCGGGUUGUAAAGCCCUUUUGUUGGGAAAGAAAAGCAGCAGGUUAAUACCCCGCUGUUCUGACGGUACCCAAAGAAUAAGCACCGGCUAACUUCGUG